GACGAACGCUGGCGGCGUGCCUAAUACAUGCAAGUAGGACGCAGUUGCGAACGGGUGAGUAACGCGUAGGUAACUGCCUAUUAGAGGGGGAUAACUAUUGGAAACGAUAGCUAAUACCGCAUACUAGUAGAUGGACCUGCGUUGUAUUAGCUAGUAGGUAGGGUAAUGGCCUACCUAGGCGACGAUACAUAGCCGACCCGGGAGGGUGAGAAGCACACCUGGGGCUGUGAAGCGGCCCGGACUCCUACGGGAGGCAGCAGUAGGGAAUCUUCGGCAAUGGGGGGAAACCUUACCGAGCAACGCCGCGUGAGUGAAGAAGAUUUUCGGAUCGUAAAGCUCUGUUAUUAAGGAAGCGGUACUUAACCAGAAAGGGACGGCUAACUACGUGCCAGCAGCCGCGGUAAUAC
rnacentral:rRNA from 1 species